CAAUUAUCGAUUCCAUGCGAAACCCUUUCGACGAGUCGAGUUGUUUGGGAAUGCAGCUAUAAAUGGGUGGUAAAUUUCAUCUAAAGCUAAAUACCUGCCAGAGACCGAUAGCGCACAAGUAGAGUGAUCGAAAGAUGAAAAGCACUUUGAAAAGAGAGUCAAACAGUACGUGAAAUUGUUGAAAGGGAACGCUUGCAAUCAGACUCGUUUGCAGAAGCUCAGCCUUCCUUCGGGAUGGUGUAUUCUUCUGUCAAC
rnacentral:rRNA from 1 species